GCUUCUGUAGUCUAGUGGUUAUGAUGCUCGCUUUACACGCGAGAGGUCCUGAGUUCGAGCCUCAGCAGAAGCA
rnacentral:tRNA from 1 species